GGAUGUGAGGGCGAUCUGGCUGUGACAUCUGCCACCGCACUGAUCUGGCUGGCUGGGUGGUUUCACCUUCCUCCCUCACCGCUCCAUGUGCGUCCCUCCCGAAGCUUCGUCCUCAUUUUACUUUAGAAAAAAGAAAAAAAAAAUUAAAUGUUAAGAAAAUCUGGACGGGGGAGUCGUGCAGUAGCACAGCGGGUUAAGCGCAGGUGGCGCGAAGAACAAGGACCGGCAUAAGGAUCGUGGUCGAGCCCCGGCUCCCCACCUGCAGGGGAGUCGCUUCACAGGCGGUGAAGCAGGUCUGCAGGUGUCUGUCUUUGUCU
rnacentral:snRNA from 1 species